rfam:Pseudomonas syringae pv. actinidiae ICMP 19096 scaffold1377, whole genome shotgun sequence.
CAGAUUAUUACCGUCAUUCCAGUCAUGGCGGGUUAGCCGACGUUUGCAAAAAACCCCGCCCUGGAGGCGGGUUUU